GACAGAGGGUGCAAACGUUGUUCGGAAUCACUGGGCGUAAAGCGUGUGUAGGCGGCCAUACAAGUCGGAUGUGAAAGCCCUGGGCUCAACCCAGGAAGUGCACCCGAAACUGUGUGGCUUGAGUACUGGAGAGGUUGGUGGAAUUCUCGGUGUAGAGGUGAAAUUCGUAGAUAUCGAGAGGAACACCGGUGGCGAAGGCGGCCAACUGGACAGAUACUGACGCUGAGACACGAAAGCGUGGGGAGCAAACAGG
rnacentral:rRNA from 1 species